rnacentral:rRNA from 1 species
UGGGGAAUUUUGGACAAUGGGCGAAAGCCUGAUCCAGCAAUGCCGCGUGUGUGAAGAAGGCCUUCGGGUUGUAAAGCACUUUUGUCCGGAAAGAAAUCCUUGGCUCUAAUACAGUCGGGGGAUGACGGUACCGGAAGAAUAAGCACCGGCUAACUACGUGCCAGCAGCCGCGGUAAUACGUAGGGUGCAAGCGUUAAUCGGAAUUACUGGGCGUAAAGCGUGCGCAGGCGGUUUGCUAAGACCGAUGUGAAAUCCCCGGGCUCAACCUGGGAACUGCAUUGGUGACUGCAAGGCUAGAGUAUGGCAGAGGGGGUAGAAUUCCACGUGUAGCAGUGAAAUGCGUAGAGAUGUGGAGGAAUACCGAUGGCGAAGGCAGCCCCUGGGCCAAUACUGACGCUCAUGCACGAAAGCGUGGGGAGCAAACAGGAUUAGAUACCCUGGUAGUCCACGCCCUAAACGAUGUCAACUAGUUGUUGGGGAUUCAUUUCCUAGUACGUAGCUAACGCGUGAAGUUGACCGCCUGGGGAGUACGGUCGCAAGAUU